GGGGUUGUGGCUCAGCGGUAGAGCGCUCACCUCGCACGUGCGAGACCCUGGGUUUGAUCGAUCCUCAGCACCACG
rnacentral:tRNA from 1 species